AUGCAUCACGCUCCUCCAGAACAUCUGCAGGCCACGAGCAGGGUUCAAGAGGAUGUGGAGGAGGCCCUCAAACAACUCCAUCCAACCAAGUGGGACCUCUCUGUGUGGUCACCUCGGAGAGAGGCACCAGCCAGGACUAAGUUCAUCAGCCAGUUUUUCUCCAGGAGCAGCCCUGUAGCAGCCCCGCGGGCUGGAUGGGGGAUGACGGAAGCUUCCCAAUGUGACAGUUCCAGGCUGCCCCUCCUCCAGCCAAGGUCCCCGUGCAGCAGCAGCCAGUCCUGCUCAGAGAGAGUGAACUUGCUCCCCACUGCUGGUAUUUGCUCUUCAGAUGUUUUGACACUGAAAGACAUUUUUCAACACGAGCCUGCAACUGAUGAGUGGAAAACUGGAAAAGCUGAAUUUCUGUCCAGAAAGAAGUGGCAAAGAACAGCCAUGUUUCACUUGAAGGAUGGGCUGAGGAAGAUUUGCAGGUUACAACUGGAACAUUUUAAUUCAUGGUACUAA
ensembl:lncRNA